rnacentral:lncRNA from 1 species
AGGAACUUGUUCCACGUGUCCUUGUUGGCUUCUCGUCCCGGCCGCUUGAACUCAAUCUUGCUCCUUAACACAGGGUACCCUGUAAGCACACAGGGCAGGGAGUGCACCCCUGUGCUUGCAGCCACCAAGGAGGCUUCGUAUGUGUCACGCUCGUCCUGUGGCAGCACCUGCUCCAGCCGCUGGUCCAUGGACAUGGUGAGCACCCAAUCCCUGACCUCCUCCCUCUUCUCC